AAAAAAAAAAAAAAAUCCCCAGAGACGCAUAUAUGCUUCGUUUGUGAUUGCGGAGGGAUUACGUUACGUGUUUAUCUCUCAAAAAAAAAUCUUAUUUAUUUUUGUACGUAAUAUUUUAUUGCGAUCAAUCGGUUAUUGUAUAUUUUCUGCGAUCCCACCUAAGGGUAGAAAUGAGCCGAGCUCGAGCAAGCUUACGUCAGCUCAAGCUUGGCUUGAACAUAAUUUUGAGCCUAAAGUUAGGCUCAAGCUCGGCGUGAAAUUAAUUCGAGUUGAGCGAGCUCGAGCCCUAAACGAGCCAUUUGAAAUUCUUAACAUCGUACAAUCUAUAGUUUAAUUUUUAUAAAACAUUAUCUAAAAAUUCGAUACCAAAAAAUAUAUCUAAUAGUUCAAUAUACAAAAUGAAUGAAUAAAAUACGAUAUUAUAAUAUUAAAAAAAAUUAGGAAAAGCGACUCUGUGAGCGAGUGAAAAGAGAGAGAGAGAGAGCAAUUAGAGUAGGAUUUUACUAGUUUGGUUUUGUGGACCCAAUAAUCUAAAUUCUAUACAAAUAUAAUUAAAAUAUAUACUAUAUAUUAUUUUGUAUAAUUAAUAUAUAUAUUAUAUAUAAUUAUAUAGAGAGAGAGUUUGGUUACUAUACUGUUAUUAGUAUAGACCUCUUUAUACUCAUAAAUUUUCGACCAUUAGAUCUAUGCUUUUGACUAUUUCCAUCCAUAAAUCAUAUUAUACAACUAACCACCCAUUCAAUCCUAGGGGACCAUUAUCAUUCUAAUUGCAUAUUCAACGACCGAAAAUUUAUGAGUAUAAAGAAAUUUAUAUUUAUUAGAGUAUAGUAGCUCUAGCAUAUAU
rnacentral:lncRNA from 1 species